CAGCAGUAGGAUGGAGGCACCAGGAUGAAGGAAUUUCUGUGGUUCUUCAUUGCCUUUUCUACUUUCUUUCAUGUUUAUUAUAUCAAAGUACCCCAGAAAGACAUGUCAGACUAGUGACUCUUCCAUGAAGCAGAGAAAGCCAACUCCAACAGCAGCCUGGUGGCUUCUGCCUGCAUUGAAGGUGUUUGCUGAAGAACAGGCUGCUUGCUCUCCAUCCUGACAUCUGUUAAGUCCAGGAGCAGGGCCUAUUUUCAGUAGCUGACUUCAGACAUUGCUUUCCACCAACCCCCAGCAGACAGGACUGAAGAUCAAACCCAAGGCCUCACACAUGCUAAGUGUUCUACCAUGGAGCUACAUUCCCAGUCUGAGUAAUUGUGGCAGGCUUGGAGCUUGCUGCUUGGAAAGAUCUUUCACUGCAUUUGAAGAUUCCUGAGCUUUACUGAACAAAAACUGAGCCAGUAGGUUCCUGCAGAUGCUGCUGCUGCUUCACAAUCAUCACCAGGGUUUUGUACCUUAUAUUUCCUAAAGGGAGAGACAAUGAGCUGCUUAAAGAAGACCGGCUGCAUGAAUUAUUCCCAGCCUUGCAGAAGUCCACAGCUUGAUGGUGCAUCAGUUAUGUUAAAAGACAAUGGUGGUGCCUGGUCCCGGAAAGAAAAGUGUUGCCUUCCAAGGAGCGGUACUAGUCAUUCUAGUCAUUUAGCAUCACCUAGGAAUUUUACUACAGUAUCUCAUCAACUUUACCACAGAAGAGCUGGAAACAAGUCUCGUGUUUACACUGAUGGAUAAUAAUGAUGCAGGAUUCUUUGUACAGCGCCUCUCUUCUGGCUCCAUGUGUGCUAAUUAAGCAUCCUUCCUUACAGUGACCACGCUCAGCCAGGUGCCGUCUUCCUCCUGCUCUCGUCUGUGCCUUCUGCUAGCACCCACAUUUCUAAAGAGGCACCCUGGACAGAAGGACUCGAAUGCAAGGACAGAGGCCUCUUCACCGUGGCAGAUGCUUGUCAGCUCUUACCAGCUGUGCAGGGCAGUUCCGAAGGACUAUUCUGCUGCGUGUGUAGGAAUUUAAUGACAGCAGGAGCUUAGAUUCUUAUGAGAAUUUGAUGGUGCUGUUUAGCAAGCAGUGUGAGAUAUUCAGCAUGCUGUGUUUUUGGUUUUCCACUUCCAGGAAGCUCUAUACUCCUAUGAUAUUUAAUUCUGGUGAUUUUUAUUCUUAUUUGUUGUUAUUGUUAGUGGUGCUGGGGAUUAAAUGUCUUCCUGCCUCAGCCUGCAGAAUAGUAGAAUUACAAAUGUGGGUCACAAAAUCCAGCUAAGAUAUAAUACUGAUAAACCAAUAAUAAUGUCAACAAAGCUUGUCAAGUACAGGGAAGACUUUAAAUACAGCCAAUGACAGUACAUAUAGCAUUUAGAAGGCCUGGUCGAGUCAGAAAUUCCUUCUGAGGUCUGUGUGAUUCUACCAUGGUUGCCUAAAAUUCCCUCUAUCAGUGUCAUUGCUGGCACAUAAGAAACUGUCCUCUGACUUUAUUCUCUUCCAAAAAAAAAAAAACAGUAAUAAGAACUAAGGAGUAAUAAAACCCAAAAUGUAUAAAUUUUGUUGUAAAAAAGAGAGGAAAAAAAAGUGCUCUAAAGUAUACAACUGCAAGUGUGUUUAGGGGUGUUAAAUAGCUGACCAUAUUAAUGUUUUUGGUUGGAUCAUUGAACACAACUGUUUGCAGUCUCACUGUUUGAAUGUCCAUUUUGUAUGUUUUGAUACUGUGACUUGAGCAACUAUCUCUAAGAUGAUAAUUGUAAUCUAUUAACUGGUGAUUUCUUACUUUUUUUUGUACCUCUGUAUUAAUUUUAUCC